UGUUUUGCAUCCUGGCUGAACCUUCUAGUGUGAGAAUAGAAACUCCAUUUGGAUCCUAUAUGUACCAGAGCAGGGACGCCGGGGGCAUAGCGUAACAAAUGUGUGGGGUCAAUUGGUUUAUGUUCUGGAAAAAGCAUUUGGAUUAGGGCUAACUCCCUGGCUGGGUGCAGUUGUCCACAACAGAAAGAAGAAUGCCCAGGUUUCCUGCUACCAGUUCAAGAGACUCUUCCGAUUGGUUUCCCAAAGGGACGCUACUGAGAAGCUGGCUCACCAAGUCCCGGCCCAGAUUUCUUUUAUUGAUUGCAGGGUUAAAAAGGCCACAAGUGACACUAAUGCGGAGGAAAAGGAUGAAGCGCACGAAAGUUGCAAAGGCCACGUAAGCGAACGUCCCUGCGAAUGCCACAUUUCACUUAAGUCCGUAACGCCAAAGGGAAUUGGAACUGAGUUAGAAAUGGAAGUCACCACCAAAGAGGAGCUCAUUUUUCAAUGUUUUCAAAGGCAACGAACUAGCAAACACAGAA